UACGUAGGGUGCGAGCGUUAAUCGGAAUUACUGGGCGUAAAGAGCGCGCAGGCGGUCGAUCAAGUCGAGUGUGAAAGCCCCCGGCUCAACUGGGGAGGGUCAUUCGAUACUGUCCGACUCGAAGGCAGGAGAGGGAAGCGGAAUUCCCGGUGUAGUGGUGAAAUGCGUAGAUAUCGGGAGGAACACCAGUGGCGAAGGCGGCUUUCUGGCCUGUUCUUGACGCUGAGGCGCGAAAGCUAGGGGAGCGAACGGG
rnacentral:rRNA from 1 species